UUCUGAAUUAAAUUUAUUAUGUUUAUUCUCAACUAAAAAUUUCAAAGAAAAUGUAAAUAUUUAUUUUGGCAAUAUCAUUACUAAUAUUUUGAAAAAAAAUAAAAAAAUAAUUAUGCAUAAAAAAAAAGGAAAAAAAAAAAACAAAAAAAAACAAAAAAAAAAACAAAACAAAAAAAACUACAAAUUAAAAAAAACGAAAAAAAACGACAGAUAACGACAGAUACAACGAAGGGAUAAUUCGUAAUACGAGUGGAUCUAUUACUCAUUUAAAAAAUUUUAUGUAUAAUGAUGUAGAUGAAAAGUCAUCAUCCGAUUUCUGUGAAAGUGUGGUAGACGCCUUGAUCGAAAGUGGGGAAGUUCCUUCCCGAGAUGAAGUACGUUCUUACACAGAUGAAACAGAUUCAUACAAAAAUGAAACAAACUCGUACGAAAGUAUGUCCGAAUCAACAAGGCCAUAUAUUCUUUAUAUAUCAGAUUAUACUAACUCAAGUGAUGAAUUAAAUAGCCUAAGUUAUGAUGACUUAAGUGAAACAUAUGAUGAAACUUUAGAUAAUAAAUUAGAUAAUAAACGAAAUUUAAAUAUAACACAAUCUUAUACAGAAACUGACUGUAAUAGCAUUAUUAGUGGAUUUAUACAUUUUACAUCAUAUUUUAACAUUGAAUGUAAUUUUAACGAAAGUAAUAGCUAUGGUAGUGGUAAUGGGUAUCACAUAGAAAAUGAUUUUCAAAAUAUAUUUUACAGUCAAAAGGAAAAAGAUAGUGAUAAUGCAAAGGGUGAAAGAUGCGAAGAGAGCAAAACAGGCGAAAGGAAUGAAAGAUGCGAAGAGAGCAAAACAGGCGAAAGGAAUGAAAGAUGCGAAGAGAGCAAAAAAGGCGAAAUUAUAGAAAGAUGCGAAGAGAGCAAAAAAGUAUACCAUCAACAUUUCGAGUCCGUAUCUAAACAUGGUACACCUGUAUAUGAAUCAAUUGAGGAAGUCGAUAAAAUCGAGCAAGUCGAACAUGUUGGAUAUCCCAAGUUCCUAUCCAAAAGUGACCUUCUUUUUGAGGGCAGAAAAGCUAGCAUGUCUAAUGACAUCAGUAACAGCAACACAGACUGUGAUGGAAGUGCUGACUGCACACAUUUCAUAUCGGACGUAGAUAAACAAAUAAAAAAGAAAAAAAGAAAACUAGCAGAAUUAGAAUGUAGUAAUUAUCGUAAACAAAAGAAAAUGAUAAUUAAAAAAAAAAAGUUUUUAAAAGAAAAAAAAAAAAAAGGUCAAGUUUAUUAUAAUAAUAAAACCAACUUAAAAAAUAAUGUAUGUGAUAUAGAAUUUGAAAAAUGGAUAGAAAAAGAUGUCAAUGGAAAUCAUAACAUAGAAAGCGAUUUUAGGAACGAAGUGGAGAAUGAUUCGAAAGAUAAAAUAGAAAGUGAACGACUCAUCGAGGAAGUAAGUGUAGUAGAAAGUUUAAACAAACACGAACAAAACAGUAUGAAUAAAAUAAAUUCAAACGAUAACUUUCAUUAUGAUAGUUUUAUGAGAAAAAAUAAAAGUGUGACAGUUGCACAUAUAAAUAUGGGUUUUCAAAUAAAAAAAUUUAAUUCUACUUUGAAGAAUCUAGAAAAUAUGUGCAAAAGUGUUAACGACAUUAACCACCUUAGCAGUAAGAAUCACAAUAGCAAUUAUUCCCCAAAAAAUGAUAGCUACAAAAUAAAUGAUAGUUACAAUUGUAGACAUAAUGGGGGUCGUAGUAAUCAUAAAAGAACUUGUUUUUUUAAUACAAGCAAACGUAAAAACAACAACAAUCAAAUUUAUAAUACAUCUAAUCUUAAUGAGUUUAAAACAAAUAAUGAUAAAAAUUACAAAAAAAACUUAACAACUCCAGUACAAUUAAAUGAUAUAAAAUGUAAAAAAUGUG
ensembl:lncRNA